GUUAUAUAUUAAUUUUAAACAAUAAAGGUUACAGACUUUAAAAAUUCAUUGUUAUUAUGUAAGUUCUCUGACUAGAUCUAUUGUCCAUAAAAAAUGCAGUAAGAUUUAUAUACUGCUCCCUACACAGGAAAUAACCUUAAUCAUAUUUUUUUAAAGGCAAUUAAGAGAUACCUAUUUAAAGGAUAAUAUUCUAAAAUAUAAAGAUUUUGGGAUCGCCUUAACCAUGCAUUAUUUGCCCUUAAUUUUCUUACCCUAGACAGUGAAGGCCAUUUGGCCGCAGACAGACAAUGGCAUCUGUUCACCCACCUGUUAUGUGGCGCGAUCCCCUUACAAAUAAAUGGAAAGGCCCAGAUCCUGUCCUCAUCUGGGAACGAGGCUCAGCUUCUGUUUUGGACCAAGAGCAAGCAGCCCCAAGAUGGUUACCAGAACACCUGGUUAAACAGGUUAAUGACUUACCUCAACCCAGGGAUGGAGGCCCUCCCCCUGAGGACAAAUUUUCCUCUUUUGCAGAUGCAGCCAACAAUCUGUGUGAGGAUCCUGCUUAAGGCACUUCUGCUGAACAGGUUUGUACACGGAGGCCUUGGCCCUCCACCUUCCAACAUCAUGGAGUACCUUUUUGGCGCCCCCUGCAAAUGCAAGGGAGGAUCUUGGACUCAGGCUCCCACUAGUUGGACCCAGACUGCUGACUGCUUGACUAAGGUGGCUUACCUCCAUGCCGAGGUUGACCAUCAGCCUAAAUGGGUAUGUGUUAACAAGCCAAAGAUUAUUUCCCCCAGUACAAGUAAAGCUCUCCAAAAUUGUUCUGCAACUUGCACGCAUACCCAGGCGAUGCAUGUCUCUUGUUAUGUGUCAGCCUCAAUUUGUGUUAACAAGCAGGGAGAACAAUUUUUUGAAGCCACUCUAACUAAAACUCAUGCAGCAGAGGGGACCACUAUUCACUAUACUCCCGUUCUCUUUGACCAGGGAGGAGAAGGCAUAUACACCAAGUUACAGUCAGCUGGAUGCCAAGGCACUGUCGGUAAACCCUCCUGCUGGCCCAUUAAGGCCCCUACAGGGGUCUCUGAUGGUGGAGGACCCACUGAUGCUGUCAAGCAUCUUCAGAUAAUCAAACUUUUGAAACCCCAAAUCCCUGAGCUCACAUAUCAUCCCUUAAUGCUGCCUAAAUCCCAGCUCCCAGAUUUAGAUACCAAUACAUUAGAUAUUUUGGAAACUACCUUCUCCUUGCUUAAUAAUUCCAACCCCACCCUUGCUGGUGAUUGCUGGCUCUGCAUGAAAACAGGGGCAAUCAUGCCUAUGGCAGUUCCUAUUAAUUCUAUUAUAGACAAUGAUAAUACAUGCCAAUCCGGAUUUCCUUUUAAAGUACAGCCUAUAGGCAUUUUUACAUCAUGUCUUUUAGGCGCGAUGCAGAAUAAUACCUAUGGUAUUGAUGUUGGAGUUACUUCCUUUGGAAAUUGCUCAACAGUAAACAAUUAUUCCUCACCCACCCCAUCUCUUUGUCCCCCCAAUGGCACAGUUUUUAUGUGUGGAGGAAACUCAGCCUUCCCCAGGCUUCCAACGUAUUGGACCGGUGGCUCUGUUCUUGCCUUAUUACUCCCUGAUAUAACUAUUGUCCCAGGAGAUGAACCUCUACCCAUUCCUAGCCUAGACACUUUAGUCAAAAGACACAGGCAGGCAAUACAGGCCUUACCACUCCUUGCCAGCCUUGGAAUAACAGCUGCUGUGGGCACAGGUACCGCUGGCUUAGGCACGGCUAUACACUCUUACCAUCGCCUAUCUCAAAAACUUAUAGAGGAUGUACAAACUCUAUCAGGAACCAUUAAAGAUUUACAGGACCAAAUAGACUCCCUGGCAGAAGUGGUCCUUCAAAACAGACGAGGCUUAGAUUUGCUGACAGCUAACCAGGGAGGUAUUUGCUUGGCCUUAGGGGAAAGAUGCUGCUUUUAUGCCAAUAAAUCAGGCAUAGUACGCACAAAAAUUAAGCAGCUUCAAGAAGAUUUAGAAAAGAGAUGAAGGGAACUAUUUGAAAAUCCCCUCUGGACUGGGCUUAAUGGAUUUCUACCCUACCUUCUUCCACUAUUAGGCCCUUUGUUGGAUUUACUUUUAAUGGUGUCCAUAGGACCCUGCAUUAUAAACAGGCUGGUACAAUUUAUUAAAGAACAGAUUAAUAUUUUGGCCUCUAAGCCCAUACAGGUUCACUAUCAUCAUCUGGAGAUGGAAGACCGUGCUGCCAACAUUUAAAAGGAUGUUCUACCCUUCUCACAGGCUUAUUUCUUAAGUUUACAUCCCCACAGAUGCCCCUUUCUUAAAAGUGUCUUUUUACCUGAACUCAAACAAGACCAAACCAAAAAGUAAAUUGUAUGGUAUAUAUACUUAUAUACUAAUUACUGGCCAGUCAUCUUUUUAGGACUCUUGCUUUUCUUAGAUUCUGUAUUUUUUUUAUCCUAUAGGCAAGUUAAUGUUUUCUGAUCAGUUUUAUUUUUGAUCAACUGUGGAGUUUUUAAACAUUGCAAUGGAGAUUUCACCUGAAAAAAAAAAAACAGCUACAAGGCCUUGUGUAUGUGUUACAUUUGUGUUAUGUGUUGUAUGUCAGUAUGUCUAUAUGUGUAUAUGUCCAUAUAUCAUGCAGUUAUAUGACAAUUGGCAGAUAUACGAGGAGCGCUCAGAAAAAAAAAAAAACAGAUCCAAAUAUCUUUGAUUCACGUGAUUCAAAUGGUUCAAUUUAAAUUGGGUAAACAGAUAAAAGUAAAGAUGUCUUUAAAAUUAAGCUUAUAAGUUUUUCUAGGUGUUCAAAAAUAAAACGUAAUAAAAUGUUGAUGUCUAUGAAAUAAUUGCUUAAAUUCAGAAAUUUACAAGUAUUGUUUCAAAAUGUGAAUAAAAAAGAAGGUUAACAGAUGGAAAAGAAAAACUAAAAAGUUCUAGAUAUGGAUUUAAUAGAGGGAAAAUGUGUUUCUGGAUAAAAAAGUCUAUAUGAUCAAGUUAACAAAAGGGUUUAAGUAAGUGAUAAAAAAGGUCUGUGUAAAUUGGUUAUAUGUGUAAGUUUUUGAACAAGUAAUCUUAAAGAAAUUAAAAAUUAUACAACUAUGGUUAUACAACAACUAUUAUUUUUCAAUAUUGUAAUGAUUAUUUCUUUAAGAGUUAAACUUGGUUAAUAUAAAAUCAUCAAUGUAAUUAUGGUGCUAUUAAUUCAUAUCUUCCAGGUAUACAAGUCUGUAAGGUAGAAGCUUCAAAAGAGCAUUAUAUCAAGCUGGUGUUCUGAAGUUGUAUGGUAAUUUUAGGCUUAAAAGAAAAACAUGUUGGAGAUUUAUUUAUAUCAUUUGUGUUCUAUAACUGGACUUGUUAUCAAUAAGAUAUGUAAAGUUCCAUGUUACUUCUACACUGAGAUACAAUUUAAAUGUAUUUUUAAGUUAAUGAGAGCCUAAUCUGUGUGAAGGUUUUAUUGUAAAACACAAAAGUACUUUGCUACUUUUCUAUAAAAGUUUAAAAGUUUUCAGCCUUUAAUUCAUGUUUCAGAUGUGAUAUUAUGUUGUGUUAGCUAAUAUUCAUGUAAACUUGAACAACAAUUUAUGUAAGCUUUGUAAAAUGAUGUCUAAAAAGCAAAGAUCAGCUUCAGAACUAUAGUACUUAAGAUUUACAAAGAGCCUGAGACUAUGAAAGAAGUAGGCCAGAUUUCAGUACAUUUAAAGUUGUGUCCAAAAGUUGGUUUUUGCCAAGAUUACUAGGAUCUCAAACAGGGGAUUAUAAUGUAUAACCCUGCCAAAAUUCGAGGUAGCUAUUAUAUAAACUAAAUAUGUUUUUACCCUAGUUAAUUUUAGUUUGUAGUUUGCUUAUAGGUGGUCUAAGGAUUGCUUGUUAAUGUUUUGCAGAGGUACUGAUUUAAGAACACACAACCUGGGUUAAUUUAAGAUAAGGGGUUAUCAUCUUCAGGAUAGAGAGAUAGACAUUAAAGCCCAGUACUUUUUAUAUAAGGCUAUUAAAACUUAUUUGCUGAAUGUUUAAGAUUAAGUUCUAAAAUUAAAGUUAAAUUAAAAGGGCCAAGAAAACCAAUAUUUGGCUCUUGCCCUCAGAGUCAGUCUGAGUCAGGGAAUAGGGGACUUCUCCAAAGAGCUCUGCAACUCUAGGCCACAUAACCUCCUGAACAGGGAGAUUAAUGAGACCAGUGGAGGACAGAAAGCCAAUCAGUGCAUUUGCUGUGAAGAGGAGGGUCAUCAGAAAAGGGAGACAUCCCUGAUGCUUCCGAGGGAAGCCAUAUGGUCAAGCAAUGCCUGGACCCAUCCUAGCGCAAAUGGCACUAGCAGAACUGAAAAGCUGCUGUAAGUUCCCCGAGGACUCCCAGGGAAACUCAGCUGACUGUUAACAAUAGAUAGAAACAAAAGUCAGUUUGACUUGCUUCAUCUUAAACACUUAGCAAAGACAGUCAAAGCCAAAACACUACUAUUCCUGGGCAUUUUAAAUGAUAAUAAUAGUUAAAUGUAACUUCCAAGAAUAAGUAAACUGGAGGCUGCAAAAGAGAUUCUCAGACAGGAAUGCCUGAUAACCAUCAAAAGGGACUGCCAGAAUAGUUUUUAGUUUAAGGCCUUUAUUUCUAACCUACACAGGUAGGCCUAAUGUUUGCUAGUAUGGUUAUCCAGCCCUAAGUAACAGAAUUAAAGAUUUCUCUAUUAGACACAGGCUGAUAAGGUAUGGUCAAAUAUUUUAUAUAAGUAAGGGGGAGAUGCCAGGGACUAGAAGGGAGUUCUCCUUCAAAUAAUAGCCUGACACUUACAAGAAACAGCCCCCUGGGAGACAUCCUGCCUGGGAGACACCCUGCAGCCAUCUAUCUCCCUGAGACAUCCUGUGGCCACCUAUCUUCCUGAAACAUCCUGCGGUUAUCUCACCUUGUGCAGACAUCCAGCAACUGCAGAUAAGAGAGCUUCCCCAUCCCCAGCGUACAAAUACCCCUGUGUGAACAAUAAAAGUUUGCAGCUUGAUCAGAACUCCUGUCUUGCUGUCAUCCUUCUGUGUCUCUUGUCCCUUCAUUCCUCCC
rnacentral:lncRNA from 1 species